rnacentral:rRNA from 1 species
UACGUAGGGUGCGAGCGUUAAUCGGAAUUACUGGGCGUAAAGCGUGCGCAGGCGGCGCGUUAAGACAGGUGUGAAAGCCCCGAGCUUAACUUGGGAAUUGCGCUUGUGACUGGCGUGCUGGAGUGUGGCAGAGGGAGGUGGAAUUCCACGUGUAGCAGUGAAAUGCGUAGAGAUGUGGAGGAACACCGAUGGCGAAGGCAGCCCCCUGGGCCGACACUGACGCCUCAGGCACGAAAGCGUGGGGAGCAAACAGG